AAAAAAAGAAGCUAGCAUAUCCAAUAACUUAGAUCGGAAAGUCAUUAUCGAACAAGAGUGUUCUCUUAAAGUUGUUGUUAAGUUUACAAAUUAAGGAGUCAGAGAAUUGUUAUUGCACUACUAUGUUUUUAAAGGUGGACAAAACAGAUUGAGGGAAGAUUGAUGCUUGCAUUUUGCAUGAGCCACGAGGAUAAAAUAGAGACACUAUUAUGAGUACUGAAAAUAUGAUGAUAAUGUGAAAAAGACCUUGGGCAAAGCCAGU